AGAGACACAACCAGCAUGUUUAUUACCCCUCUGCCUCGCUGCAGUGAGCUGCCACCCCUUGGAGCUAACCCAAAACCCAUCUUGGAUUGCGGAGCUGUGACUACUGCUGCUAGGCAACUGGGUGUUGGUGGAAAGCAGUUGUGACAGCACUGAAGAGCUAUGGCCUCUCUGCAAAGCUGCUAUAUAUAGCGCAGACAGUGUGCAGUGCAGGCUUUCCUUUGCUGUCCUGCCAACGGGCCACAGCGCAGGCCCUGCAGCAGGCAGGGCUCCAUCACUGCAGCUCGAGGGAACGUGCUGCCUGGUUCUGCGCUCCAGUUAAAGGGAGUUGUGCACAUAUCUUUUCCCCCAUAAUAAUGAAGAGCAGCAGUCUGGAUGCAGGUAUAAGCAAAAAUUCCAUCCUUCACACUAGCAAACCAGCUGCAGGGUACACUCUGGAGAUACAGAAGAUUUGAUGCACCAGAAUGCUCAGGCUCAUCAACCUUGUCAAUGAUGUAAGGCUGUUCCCUCAUCACUGGAGGAUCAGAUGCGUGUUUCCCACGAUUAGGAUCCUGACUCUGCUUCUUGCUUAUGGUGUUAGCCCACCCUUGGGCAGCGUGGAGCUUGUGCUAGGCACAGAAUGGAAAAGCCAUUUCUUGCCACAUCAGCUCAUGUUGUGGCUGCUCGCUAACCUCACUGUUACUACUUCUUUUUAAAUUCUUUCAAGAUAAAGAUGCUGAAUUGCCACUGAUGGGAAAAAUCCUUACUGUUGCUCUGGUUCUCUGUUGCCACCUCUGCUCUCAGAGAUACCUGAGCCAUGAGCUUGGUACAGAAUACUCCAUCCCUCCCACGUGCUCUGGGCUCCCAAUGCACAUUUCCUCCAAAAGGCUGGGCCCGUGCUGCCCCUGCUAUUCCGGACCAGGUACAAUGCAGUGCAUCACUUUCAGGGUCCCUCUCCAACCUGCUGAAACCAGCAGUGAAGCACACCGCGAUCGUAACUUCUACUAAAAUCUGUGCAGUAAAGCUCAAUGUUAAUCAACACCUGCGAAAAAGAACUGGAAAAAAAUAUAAAUGGAAGAGGUUGUCUGACAUCUGUCGUGGGGGAGGUAUUAUAGGUCAAUGGUUCCUAGCAGCCGUGCCAUACUCCAAGCUCUGGAAACGCUCUCCCUUCACCAGACUCAGUUACACUCACUGCUCAGCACUACAAGCUGCAUUGCUGGCAGCAGUUCUGUCCCUCCAGAGCUGCAGCUUCCUGCUCCCUCUCACCUGCUCCGUGAUGGUUCCUCCUCACGGGGGUCUCCCUCUUGUUGCUAUGACAAUGCUUGGUGCAUUUAAUCCAAAUAUCUGUAAACCGUCUCGUACCCGCUCCCUGCUUGUCUGAAAAAUGAGGCCACGCUCUGCUUCUAAAGGGCAAACAAGGCACUUGUCCAGCCCUUGGAGUUAAACAGGAGCCCCCCCACCUUCCCAAGAAGCUGCUGCGAUUAUACUGCUGCAAUUACUGCCUUACUUCCUAAUGAAAAGCAAAAGCAAACAGGUCUCGCCAGGCAGCUCUCCAGGCAGCGUCGGCAUCAGCUACGAGCUCCUCAUCCAACAAAUAGAAUAGCCAAGCCUUAAUGCAGUGCAGGUGCUAGAAAUCAAGCUGGUGGGCAGUUCUGCUUUCCAGCAGGAGCAGGGAAGAGCUGCUCCCUUACAAACACCGCCAGCAAUAGGGCUCACGCUCACACAGCUCCAAGUACCAAGACGCACACAAAUACAGAUUAAUAGCUUUUCUUUUCAAUGGCAUCCUGCUUUGACAUUGUUAAAUCCGAGUGCCAAAAAGGCAGUUAUGUGGAAUUAACUGACCACAACUGACUGAGUGUCAGAGUUUGCGGCUCAAUGCGGCAGCUUCUACCAUUUCUCACACAGUGCUCUUUUAAUAUGGGAGGGAGAGCACCAUUUUGCACAGCAACACCUGCUUUUGCUCUCAGCUCACUGCUCGAUGCUUUCCACAAGCAGUGCUGGUUUGAUGUCUCAGAGCAGCUGUGGUUUGUGCAAAUGUGCAGCUUGCACUGGGGGUCUGAGUGCUGACUUCCCCCUAGCAGUGGUUGCUGCAGGUCACCUGCAUCCUCCUUACAAGUCCCCACCACCGCAACACACGUUGGUCAUUGACAGCCUUGUCAUCCAGAAUCACGAGGCUUGGAACAGAUCUAAGAGAUUACAAGGCUUCAUCUCCAUUGCAGGCUUUUUCAUUCUCUUCCAACAGGAAAUUAAGCAUGCAAGUCAGCCUGUAGUGGGAGCGGGUCACAGGAUUUCCAGCACCAAAGAUCUCCAUGGAAGGCAGCAAUAAUUGUUAUUUGAAACAGUGACAGCCAGCUAUGCAGUUCUACCACCUUGAAGGUGACAGGUGUUACAGGCAGAGCUCAAGAUCACAGAAAAGGGUUCUGGUGGUCCAACCUGACCUACCAAAACUGCCACACGGCCCAAAGGUCCUGGAGCAGGCAGAGUGCUGCAAAACCCAAACUGCUCAAAUGGAAAUUAUAGCUUUCAGCUGUGCUACAGGGGAUGGCAUUGGCACAGCAGUUCUGGAGACUAAUCAGGGCUCAGUGAGGCAAAAAGAGCCCUCCAGGUUCUGCACAUCCCCUAAAAAUCACCAGCUCAGGCACUCCGUGUGAAGCUUAACCUACAAAGUGCUGCUGCACAACGGCCAGGGUACUGACCGCUCACUGCAAACCACACAAACCCAGCAGCCCAAUUUCAGGAGCAAUCUAAGCAAAAAGAGGGCAGAUCUGCUCCAUCCAUACCCUGCUGCUCAGCCCCUGAAAGGGAACGAAUACAAAGACCUCAUGAAGCCAACUCCCUGCCUACGCUGCAGCACCACAGGAUAAGACAGGAGGAAGCAAAGCACUCCUUUACAAGCUUUCUUGCCUUAGGUUGAAUUUUUCCCUUCCCUCUGCCCACUGGCAGUCAGCUUUAGCUGUUUUACGGCUGUGAUGUCACGAAGCAGCCAGCUCUAGUCCCUUUUGCUGCGUAAUUCCUUGGCUGCUGCAGGGCCAGGCUUGCUCUCCUCCGAUACACAAGGACUUAUCCCCUUCCCAGACCCACAGCACUGGUUUGCUGUUCAGGCACACUCACUGCUCCCUGUUCUCAUCCCGUGUGUGUGACAGCAGUGCCAUUCCCACAGUGGCAUUUCACGUUGCCCACACGCACGCUGCCGCCCAGCAAUCCCUGCCCAGCACACGGCUGCCAGCCAGUUCCCUUCAGCAAUAUCCACCUAAAUGCCAGGAUGCCAGCCCACAGCUUUUAAUCCCCGAUCACUCUCAACCAGGAGGGAAGGAAAACAGAGGAAUGACUGCUUUUAGCUACCAAAACCCCUCGAGAGCACAAAAGCUUGCCUCACCCAGAGAACUAUACGUCUGCCUCUAUCUGAGGAAACAAGUUGCUGCAGGAGCAGUUGGAACAAGAAGCACAUCAUUUGCAGUGCCCUUGUAUUUUGUGGUCUGUGCUCUCAUGCUGUUUGGAUAGCUGAGGCCGCUGACAAGGUCUCUGUCCUUUAUGGGCUCUGGUCGAGCACUGCAGCUCAUUUCCUCGGGCACUCACAGGAAACGGGGAGCAGAAUAUGUCCCAGUUACAUCAACCUUAUGGGAACACGAGAUCUCUUAGACCUUGAUCCUGUCAGAUGUAAUGUGUCAACGGAUUGAAGAGAGCUUUGUGUGCUGUGGGGGAAAUGUAGAAGCAGCAGGACACAGAAAUACAGAGCACGCUUGCAAAGCCAUGUUCCCUUACAACCCCAGUGCUAACCAGCCUGGGCAAUUCACACCGACUUCCUUCAUUUUCUUCUUCAUUUUGGGCAGAUCUCUAAUUAAGAAGAUAAGUAGAGUGUAUGUCUUUGGCCAAAGUGUAAGCUUUUUGCAGGAGUGAGCAUCUGUGGGCCGAAGGCAGAUGAAUGUUACAGCACUGUACGCAGUGAGGACAGCACUUCUGGAGAGGGGAUGUCUGUGCUUAUCUUACACAGUUCUCUGAUCCCUCCUUAAUGAUGGUACCUGACCACAUUGUAAUCUGUGAUGUAAAUCUGACUGCAAAGCUUCGCACCAACGAGCAAUGACACCUGCUGGGAGCACACCAGCCCACUGAGAGUCUGUGCUCUGAUGCUGAGGACCCCAGAGCACAGCCUCCUCCUGUCCUCCUAUGCAGCUUGUUUGGACUCUCCUUCUCAUCAGAAGAGUGAGCAAAACAGCAAUUGGAAAAUGGAGGCUGCUGGCAACAGCUAGCAGCAGAAAGGCAAAGCACGACCAGCAAAGCUGCACUCAGAGUUUGCCAGGAGCAGACGGCAUUCAGUUCUCAACAAGGACCCUUGUAAGAUCCCCACAGCAGGGCCAGGAAAAGAAAUACAGUCUGCCUCAAAUCCUGGGCAGCAAUCCCUGCUUCCUUUCCAGCUCUGACCUGCAGCUCCGCAUGCAGCAUUGUCACAGCAGCCUGUCUGACAGCACCAUUUCUUACCUCCAGGCUUUUCCUUCCUCUCCUUCCUCCCAAUGCCCCAACUAAUUCUGUACAGCCUAAAAGCAACCUGGGCAUUUCCCUUGAUCUGCUGGAAGCACACUAAUUUCCAGCCAGUGUUCCCUUUUAGCUAGCAGGGCAGCGAGGGGGGAAGGAGGCAGAAAGACCUAAUGGUAGAGCAAGGGCAGAGCUCUUUACAGGAAAAGCUUUCAGCUGUGAAGCGGAUGAGGACCUGGAAUAGAUGGCCCAACACUGGCUCUGUCUGCAGUAACAGCUCAUUUGUAAAAAAAGAAAAGUCCUCCUGGGAUAAUUACACAAUGGAGGUUGGGUGGCAGCCUGCUACAGACAGAGACCUGAGCACUACACAGGCGUCUCUGAUCCCAUGAAGACCCUCCAGUGCCUGCCACCCGCUCACAAAGCUUUCAGAGCACUUGACAGCCCCUCUGUUGCUGAUGUGCUCUGAUUGAUGGCUGUCACACUAACCAGCAUUGUCUCAUUGUAUUUCGCACGCUCCCCGUCAUCCCUGAUAGAUAUCCAUCUGCUGUCUCUCACGUUGGACCGGAGAGUCUUCAGGGCAAGAACCAUCAGCGUGCCCUAUCACUAAGUCCUCACAUCCCAUGUACGAGGAAGAG